CAGUACAGGCAGGAACAUACAAUAUAAAUAAUCUGAUGUUCUGCAGAGAAUAAACUAAUAAAGCAUAGGCUAAAAUAGUUUAUCCAUUUAUUUAUUUACUAUUAUUGCUGAAAAAGAAAUAAGAAAAGAAAGAAAAAAAAGAGGCCGACAGCUGGCCAAGCAUGUGGCCCGGGCACUGGCCAGGCGCGGCCCAGCCAGUCGGCCAAGCCCGCAUCCCAGCCGAGCCAGGGAGGAGGCGAGCCCGUGGGCCGGCCC
rnacentral:lncRNA from 1 species